CGAGCGAACAGAAGGGAGCUUGCUCCCGGAUGUUAGCGGCGGACGGGUGAGUAACACGUGGGUAACCUGCCUGUAAGACUGGGAUAACUCCGGGAAACCGGAGCUAAUACCGGAUAGUUCCUUGAACCGCAUGGUUCAAGGAUGAAAGACGGUUUCGGCUGUCACUUACAGAUGGACCCGCGGCGCAUUAGCUAGUUGGUGGGGUAAUGGCUCACCAAGGCGACGAUGCGUAGCCGACCUGAGAGGGUGAUCGGCCACACUGGGACUGAGACACGGCCCAGACUCCUACGGGAGGCAGCAGUAGGGAAUCUUCCGCAAUGGACGAAAGUCUGACGGAGCAACGCCGCGUGAGUGAUGAAGGUUUUCGGAUCGUAAAGCUCUGUUGUUAGGGAAGAACAAGUGCGAGAGUAACUGCUCGCACCUUGACGGUACCUAACCAGAAAGCCACGGCUAACUACGUGCCAGCAGCCGCGGUAAUACGUAGGUGGCAAGCGUUGUCCGGAAUUAUUGGGCGUAAAGGGCUCGCAGGCGGUUUCUUAAGUCUGAUGUGAAAGCCCCCGGCUCAACCGGGGAGGGUCAUUGGAAACUGGGAAACUUGAGUGCAGAAGAGGAGAGUGGAAUUCCACGUGUAGCGGUGAAAUGCGUAGAGAUGUGGAGGAACACCAGUGGCGAAGGCGACUCUCUGGUCUGUAACUGACGCUGAGGAGCGAAAGCGUGGGGAGCGAACAGGAUUAGAUACCCUGGUAGUCCACGCCGUAAACGAUGAGUGCUAAGUGUUAGGGGGUUUCCGCCCCUUAGUGCUGCAGCUAACGCAUUAAGCACUCCGCCUGGGGAGUACGGUCGCAAGACUGAAACUCAAAGGAAUUGACGGGGGCCCGCACAAGCGGUGGAGCAUGUGGUUUAAUUCGAAGCAACGCGAAGAACCUUACCAGGUCUUGACAUCCUCUGACACCCUAGAGAUAGGGCUUUCCCUUCGGGGACAGAGUGACAGGUGGUGCAUGGUUGUCGUCAGCUCGUGUCGUGAGAUGUUGGGUUAAGUCCCGCAACGAGCGCAACCCUUGAUCUUAGUUGCCAGCAUUUAGUUGGGCACUCUAAGGUGACUGCCGGUGACAAACCGGAGGAAGGUGGGGAUGACGUCAAAUCAUCAUGCCCCUUAUGACCUGGGCUACACACGUGCUACAAUGGACAGAACAAAGGGCUGCGAGACCGCAAGGUUUAGCCAAUCCCAUAAAUCUGUUCUCAGUUCGGAUCGCAGUCUGCAACUCGACUGCGUGAAGCUGGAAUCGCUAGUAAUCGCGGAUCAGCAUGCC
rnacentral:rRNA from 2 species